UGUGUGGAGAUGCCUAGAUAUCCUGCCU
rnacentral:piRNA from 1 species